rnacentral:lncRNA from 1 species
AACAAAAUAAAACAAGAUCAAUAAUAAUGAUAAUGAUACAAACAAGAUCAAAAUAGACUGUUUGGAUUAGUAGAAUCAUCUAACAAAAUAAAACUCAAAACUCUGACUGCCCAACACAAAGUGCCUUCAAUUCCAAAACCUCACCUUAUAGUAUCAACCCAAUUACAAGACCUGCAGAGGAUCAAUACGUUGAGUAUUUACCUUUAUCCAACAUCCAAUCAAUUGUUGGAAGUCGUAAGCUAUCAGCCAAUUGUCAGGCCUCUUUUGCCAUCACAAUAGCCUGCUAAGAGACUUGAUAAGCAGCUUCAGAUUUCGCCUUGUAGCUUCAGACUUGAUAACUUGGUUGUAGGACCUGCUCAAGCUCCUUCAAAUACCCUAACGCAACAUAAAAAUAAAAAUAAGAAAAGCAAUAAGAAGCUGAGAGGAUGAGGUCUUGGUUUCCUAGCCAGAAAGUUCGGAUAAAAUUCUUGCUAUUAAGAAAAUUAUCCAACCCCCAAAAGAUGCUGCAGAGCUUACUGAAGAAGAUACCAAGCUUCUGAACAAGAAGAUGCGACAAAUCAAGUCCGAAAUUGAAACUGUGGGUCAGAUCAGGCACCGAAACAUUCUUCCGUUGCUAGCCCAUGUCUCUCGACCAGACUGUCAUUAUGUGGUAUAUGAGUUCAUGAAGAAUUGGGCUCUGAAAUCGAAGAACAAUCACUUGACCAAAUGGUUUUUUGGCCCAACUCUCGUUUAUCCCCUGAUUUUCGUGCACAGCUUCUUUGGGUGGAUUUGAAAUUGGGGAAGAACCCUAGAAAAUUGGAAAUCUUACUACGGUUUGGGGAUAGAUUGAGAGGAAAAAGAAGGGAUGCGGUUUGAGGAUAGAUUGAGAGGAAAAUGAAAGGAUGAUGAUGGGAUGAAACAAUUUGGGUUUCAUGAAUGAUGAAGAAAGAAAUUGGGAGACCCAAGUGUAUAGCCUUCGUAUAUCACGAAUUGGGUCUCCCAAUUUAUCAGUUCGUGGAUUUGAAAUUGGGGAAGAACCCUAGAAAUUGGGACCGGAGAUGAUGAGCAGAAGCUGCAAGCAGACCAUCAUACUCCCUAGCAGCAUCGGAGAUAAGACUGAAGUUUGAUCGGAGAGGAGAAGAAUGUUAAGAGGAAGAAGAAAGGGUGUUUCAGACAUUUAUCAGUCCUUUUUUACUGUUACAGCCUCUUCUCACGCGUUUUUGGCGUCUGAUAUACACGCACAGUUAAGUAGGAUGGAAAAAGUGACGUUUUCACUUCAACUCAAAAGGUCGGGAGUUUAAAUGUAGCUUUACUGACUACAGGUGGUUAAGUGAAAAACCGCCCAAAUCUCAAGUGGUCAUCUGAACUUAACCUUUUUAAAAAUAAUAAUUUUUU